CGCGGGAUUUUCACGGAUGGCCGGAUUCAGGCUCAUAACCUGAAGGUCACAGGUUCAAAUCCUGUCCCCGCAACCA
rnacentral:tRNA from 1 species